CAGUAAGAAGGUCAGAAGGCGCUGCCUGCAGGAGAUCCGUUUGUCUGAAAGAUGUUGUCAAUCACACUGUGCCAACACAGUGCAACAGGGCUCAGCGUCUGAAAGGUUCAGGGAGUGCAUUGAGCUCCCAUAGAAGAAUUUGUCCAGAACACACUUCAGACUAGAAGCACUACAGAACUUUACCUAUUCCAAACUCAGCAGCACUUUGCUUACAUUUCCUGCAAAUUCAUAACCUCUUUAGUUUUCUAUUUUUUUCAAAUGGAUGACUUUAUAGUGAGAAAAAUCACAAGGAAGAAAUACUUUACUCCUUCCACUUCUGUGUAAGCAAGUAUUUUACCUACCCACG